CUACGGGUUGCUCCAGUGAGGAAUAUUGCACAAUGGGGGGAACCCUGAUGCAGCAACGCCGCGUGGAGGAUGACGCAUUUCGGUGUGUAAACUCCUUUUAUAUGUCAAGAAAAUGACGGUAGCAUAUGAAUAAGCACCGGCUAACUCCGUGCCAGCAGCCGCGGUAAUACGGAGGGUGCAAGCGUUACUCGGAAUCACUGGGCGUAAAGGACGCGUAGGCGGGUUGGAAAGUCAGGUGUGAAAUCCUACAGCUUAACUGUAGAACUGCACUUGAAACUUCUAAUCUAGAGUAUGGGAGGGGGAGAUGGAAUUCGUGGUGUAGGGGUGAAAUCCGUAGAUAUCACUAGGAAUACCUAAAGCGAAGGCGAUCUCCUGGAACAUUACUGACGCUAAGGCGUGAAAGCGUGGGGAGCAAACAGAAUUAGAUACCCCGGUAGUC
rnacentral:rRNA from 1 species